AGAAGAGUUCUGCAUUGAACUGACUUAACAGCUGAAACUACUGAAGUAGCUCUCACUGGGGAAACAUAAGCUAAAACAAAAACGACAACAAUAAAAACCCACCACAAUGGUGGAAGUGUCAGUGAGUCACAUUGGUACCUUGAAACUGGCUCUGGAGGAAGUGUUUACACCAUGGAAACUGGAUGGUGGCCAGAAAGCUCAGGAGCAGCGCAGUGGCAAGGGGGCAGCGCCUCAUGAAAAAAGGGCCACACCUUUUGCAUUCCUGCUCCUCUGCUGGCUUAAUCUCAGCGGUUUUCUACUUUGCUUUUCUCUUUGCCUUAAUUAACUCACAUGCGUAUAAUAUGAUCCAUUAUCCAUCAAACAUUUUAAAACAUCUGUGUAAGAAUUGGUUGGCUAUAAACAAAACAUUGAAGUAUAUAGCUCUUCAG